UCAAGUGACUGAGAAUGAUUUAACUGUGUAGCUGAUCCUUUCUCAAGGUCACCAGGAAGGACAGCCAGAGCAGAAGUUGCCUCUGCCUGCUUUAUUAAGCCAGCAACAGCAAUGCUGAGUUUCGAGCAGCUGUUUUCGCAGGCCUUCAUCGUUUCUUCACUGCCCUUCUCCCUGGAUUUAAACCUUGGAUUCACCAUAGUGGGAGUUCUCCCAAAGUUCCUUCCAGUGACCUUCAUCGUCCAAACAUCUUUGCCUCGGUCUUCAAAAUAUCAAGUUGCAGAAUGCCAGGAUAGCCACAAAGUAAAAUAUAAGUUCCCCAAAGCUGAAGACUUCCUCCUCUCCCCGCUGCCCCAGAGACGGGAGAAAAAAAUCAAAGUUCUUCCAAGUCUCUAAGAGAGAGUUGAUCCGAGCCGGACUGUUAGAACCCAGCAGUGAGUUAUAAAUAGAGUGGUGAUAGCAGGCUCUGUACCGAUGCAGUAUGGGACCAUGUUACAGCAUUUCAGCUCUGCCAAUUUAUAAACAAAUAAGAUGCAUUGAAUUACAAAACAAGGCUAGUUACUAUGGCAUGCCUAGGCUUAUGCAGAGCCAUCCAUAUUAAACAGACUGGCAUAGAAAGAGACCGUGGGGAGUGAACUAGGUAGAUAGAGUUGCCAAAUGAGUUUUCUGGCCCCACAAAAUGCCUCUAUUUCAAACUAACUUAAGGAAUCCCCAGUAACUUUGCAGGAGUUGUAGGUUAUAUAGAUUUUCACCUUGUAACAAGGGCACUAAAAACCCUCAUAGGCUACAAUACAAAUCAAAGCUGCCAGACAUGAGUAUUCAAAGGACCAAACUAAACCACAAAACCCAACCACCCUCCUUGCUCUCUUCCUAUCCCAUAUAUCAGUUCAAGAUAAGCACCACUAAUGUGUGGGCACACAUAUGACCCAGUAAAGUGUCUAGUAGGCUCUUAAUUAUAUUUGCUUCUGUAGUGUUACCGGACAGUUAUUUUCCUUUGGAGACAUAUCCUCUAAUGAAAGCUAAAUUGGGAAAAAACUUUUCAAGGAAGACCAUUACAAAGUCACAUUCCAAGAAAGAUACUCAGCCUGAAGAACCAGAAGAUUUGACUCUGCAAUGGCAAGUUUUAUGCUCCUAGUCAAAGCAUUUCCUUCAGUUUUGCUAUAGCUUAAGUAAUUUUAAAUGUUUGUACCUAGUUUAAUUGUAAUUUACUCUUGUGAACUCUAAGAUAGUCCAUCUAUACAUAGGCCAACUCCAAAUUUAUGGAGGUAAAAAAUAAGUCCAGUCUCUGCUGUGAACGUCUCAAGUGUAGGGUGAAGACAGACACCAUGUCACAGACACAUUUGUUAACAGUCAAUCCCACACCCAUAUACAUAACAGAAGAAUCAUUUCUCUUAAGAAAUUUUAGGAAGUUAGAGCCAAUCAUCAUAGCAGAAUUUUGUACGCCAGCUAAUGUCCUGCCAAGAAGAAAUGGAAUGAACAGGUUAAAAAACAAAACAAAACACAUAGGCUGAAAGUUCUUUAUACAAAAUUAAAUCCCCGAUUAGCUUCUAUUGUUCUUGCAUUUUGCUUUUUUUUUUUUUUUUUUUUU